rnacentral:rRNA from 1 species
UACGGGGGGGGCAAGCGUUGUUCGGAAUUACUGGGCGUAAAGGGUGCGUAGGUGGCGAGGUAAGUCGGAUGUGAAAUCUCCGAGCUCAACUCGGAAAUGGCAUUGGAAACUACCUUGCUCGAGGGUUGGAGGGGGGACUGGAAUACUUGGUGUAGCAGUGAAAUGCGUAGAUAUCAAGUGGAACACCAGUGGCGAAGGCGAGUCCCUGGACAACUCCUGACACUGAGGCACGAAAGCUAGGGGAGCAAACAGG